GUCCUACUGUCAUUAAAAAAAUCAAAAUCAAAGUAGCAGUCAGAAGUAACAGUUACUAAUAUUUACCUAUACAUUUUCCCAUUUUAUUCUGGUUUGUCUUUCUAAACCCUUACACCAAGUUAUCUGCAAUACACACCUUAUUGCUUUCCAUCACCCGUAUGUGUAUCUAUUGAAAAUUACCUCUUGGACUCAGUCCAACUGCUCACUGGUUUCUCCUGAGGGUCAAGAGUAUUGUUGCCAUGACACAGAGCAUCUUCUGACUAACAUGCUCAGGAAGCCCCACAGUGUUGAGAUCAAACACUCAGGAGGAACCUGCUGCAUCCAUGACACAUGCAUAUUCUCAGAUAUCCAUUCAAUAAGACGUAAGCUGUCACUUCAGAUCUAAAUCAUUUAAAUAUGCACAGAUUUACGGUGAGGAAAGAAGCCAUUAUGAAAUUAGAAAGAAAGAACAACAACAAAAGAAGGUAACGGAUCUGGCUCAGAGAACUUAACAGAAACCUCAGCAUUUCCUAUCUCUUAUCGGUAAACCCCGUUGAGAUCCAGAUCUCAUUUUCCAGAGGGACCAUCGUGAAGCUUUACUUCUGUGCUCCACCUCAAACUGAGACUUUAAUGUGUUCAUUUUGAUUCAAAACAUACAGGAAAAAAUCAUCACCAUUCUGCUGUAUCUUCACAGAUACAUCACUUGAAUGGUGAUGAUGUGAAGAGGAAUGAUCUCCAGCAGCAGUCAGGCUUGCAAGUAAUCUGAAGAGGCCUUGGUUUGAACGUCCUCCUCUGAAUCCAUAUGCCAGCAGAAAAUAUCACGUCAGAUUAUUUAAUCAGUGAUUUUGCUGGUAAUUAAAGCUCUGCUAACAC